UACACGCUGUGACUAGCAUAUCAAUAAGCGGAGGAAAAGAAACUAACAAGGAUUCCCCUAGUAACGGCGAGUGAAGCGGGAAGAGCUCAAAUUUGAAAUCUUAAAGGGUUUCCCUUUACGAAUUGUAGUUUAAAGAAGUGUUUUCUGUUGAGGUUUUGGUAAAAGUUCUUUGGAAUAGGACAUCAUAGAGGGUGAGAAUCCCGUAUUUGGUCAUUCCUUCUAGCUUUGUGAUACACUUUCAAAGAGUCGGAUUGUUUGGGAAUGCAGUCCAAAAUGGGUGGUAAAUUUCAUCUAAAGCUAAAUAUUGGCGAGAGACCGAUAGCGAACAAGUACCGUGAGGGAAAGAUGAAAAGAACUUUGAAAAGAGAGUUAAACAGUACGUGAAAUUGUCAAAAGGGAAGCGUUUGACACCAGUGUUGUUUUUCUGAAAAUCAAUUAAAGAACUGUUUAUGCUAAGCUGUUUAGACUUUAUCAGCUAUCUGUUUAGUUUUGAGCUUUUCUUUAAUGCACUUUUCAGUUAACAAGUCAACAUCAAUUUCUUUUGCUGUAAAAAAGCUUGAGGAAGGUGGCUUGAGAUUCGUCUUAAGUGUUUAUAGCCUCUUGCCUAUGCAGUCGGAGAGAUUGAGGUCUGCAGCGUAGAUCCUUCGGGGCUAAAUGCAUUUGUGCUAAGUUAUAGCAUUUUAUAGACAACUUGUUGACUAUGAUUUGUCUGUAGCUUACUCGCUUAUGUUAUUUUACCUACGCUUAGGAUGUUGAUAUGCAUGACUGAUAU
rnacentral:rRNA from 1 species